GCUAGCUCAGUUUGUUAAUGAGCCGACUCAAUUUUGUAGGUUGAAAAAUUGAUUUCUCUAUUAAGCUGACUCAAAUUGUGCAGGCUCGAAAAAUUAUUUUCUAUUUAUCUCAGAUUGAGUCGACACAAACUUUUAGAUAGAAUUAUUUUACAUAAAUAUUAAUGUAAAAGAGUUUAUAUUUAAAAUUAUUUCAUCUUUCUACACUUAAUUAAGAAUUAAGAGUUAAAACUUUAGAUCUAGAAUUGUGAUUUAAAGAUCUAAAGACAUUGCAUAAAUUAUGGGGCUAUGUGUUAGCUUGAAUCAGGUUAUUUAACUGGGUUAGACCUAGGGUU
rnacentral:lncRNA from 1 species